rnacentral:rRNA from 1 species
GUUAUAACCGGCGAUACCCGAAUGGGGAAACCCAGUGUGACUCGUCACACUAUCAUUAACUGAAUCCAUAGGUUAAUGAGGCGAACCGGGGGAACUGAAACAUCUAAGUACCCCGAGGAAAAGAAAUCAACCGAGAUUCCCCCAGUAGCGGCGAGCGAACGGGGAGGAGCCCAGAGCCUGAAUCAGCAUGUGUGUUAGUGGAAGCGUCUGGAAAGGCGCGCGAUACAGGGUGACAGCCCCGUACACAAAAGCGCAUGUGCUGUGAGCUCGAUGAGUAGGGCGGGACACGUGGUAUCCUGUCUGAAUAUGGGGGGACCAUCCUCCAAGGCUAAAUACUCCUGACUGACCGAUAGUGAACCAGUACCGUGAGGGAAAGGCGAAAAGAACCCCGGCGAGGGGAGUGAAAAAGAACCUGAAACCGUGUACGUACAAGCAGUGGGAGCACCCUUUGGGUGUGACUGCGUACCUUUUGUAUAAUGGGUCAGCGACUUAUAUUCUGUAGCAAGGUUAACCGAAUAGGGGAGCCGGAGGGAAACCGAGUCUUAAC